rnacentral:rRNA from 1 species
ACGCUGGCGGCAUGCCUAACACAUGCAAGUCGAACGAGAAGCUAUCUUCGGAUAGUGGAAAGUGGCGCACGGGUGAGUAACGCGUGGGAACCUGCCCUGAGGUUCGGAAUAACGAUUGGAAACGAUCGCUAAUACCGGAUGAGCCCUGAGGGGGAAAGAUUUAUCGCCUUGGGAGGGGCCCGCGUCCGAUUAGCUUGUUGGUGUGGUAACGGCGCACCAAGGCUUCGAUCGGUAGCUGGUCUGAGAGGAUGAUCAGCCACACUGGGACUGAGA